UACGUAGGGUGCAAGCGUUGUCCGGAAUUAUUGGGCGUAAAGAGCUCGUAGGCGGCUUGUCACGUCGGGUGUGAAAGCCCGGGGCUUAACCCCGGGUCUGCAUUCGAUACGGGCAGGCUAGAGUGUGGUAGGGGAGAUCGGAAUUCCUGGUGUAGCGGUGAAAUGCGCAGAUAUCAGGAGGAACACCGGUGGCGAAGGCGGAUCUCUGGGCCAUUACUGACGCUGAGGAGCGAAAGCGUGGGUAGCGAACAGG
rnacentral:rRNA from 1 species